rnacentral:misc_RNA from 1 species
UUUUGGGUACAACCAAAAGUCGUACAUAUGAUAAAAAAAAGUGACUUACGUUUGUAUAAUCUCGUUUAGUGUUUGACCGCUGAACCAACCUUAGACUCACACUUUGAUAAAAUAGUUUAAAAGUAUGAUAUCAACCACCAACCUCUGUCAUAGCUCCUUCGUAUUUUUAGAAUUGCAUAUCUAAAUUAUUAAGUAAUUGCAGGCCGUGUUACUCAUUUCUAGAGCGACUUGAUAACGCCAAUGACUUGAAGUUUCUUUCUCAUGAUGGCGAAGGGGGGGGGGGGGCAAACAUUGCAAGUACGAGUACCAAGGGUCAAUAGGAUGUUCAAUAUUCAACACCUUCUGACUUAAUGAGUCCAUCUACGUCUGGCAGGGUUAAGGUAGCUACCGUCUUUUUUAAAAUGUAGCUUUAAACCAACGAGAAAUCUGAUUGGUUUGAAUUUGUUAUUUUUUCAAUUACUGUUUGCGCAACUUCUCACGUUGUUUUAACAUAGUUUAAUAUUGAAAACAAGUAAUAAUUGAGUACAGAAAUUUAUUUUUUGUGUCUUCUUAAAAUGCUUUAAUAAGAUAUUGUAAAUUGUUUUGAUAUUUUUUCCGAAAGAAUUUUAAUAUUUUUUGUUGCAUCUAAUUAACAUGUAAACGAGCUUGGAAAGUUAAUUGUUUGUCUGUUUUACACUAUGUUAUCAUUGUUUUCGAUUGAAAAUGUAGCGUAGAAAAUGUAUGUCAGCUAUGAAUUUAAUAUUUCGUGAAAAUACCGCAUUCUUGAUAUUUUGGACUUUAUUACAUGAAUGAUAUUUAAAUAUUGCAGCUUUUUUUGGUUUCAUCUUAUGACUUCCAAUAGAAAUGCUGUACAUAAAGGUUUCUCUUUCACAUCUUAGUUUUUCGGUCUUACAGUGUAUUUAAUUUUGAUUCUAUGUAAUACUAUUAUUGAAGCAUUGAUGUUAAAAGACAAUUCUUUGAUAAAAAAAAAAU